GAUGAAGAACGCAGCGAAAUGCGAUACGUAAUGUGAAUUGCAGAAUUCAGUGAAUCAUCGAGUCUUUGAACGCACAUUGCGCCCCCUGGUAUUCCGGGGGGCAUGCCUGUCCGAGCGUCAUUGCUGCCCUCAAGCCCGGCUUGUGUGUUGGGUCUCGUCCCCCUUCCCGGGGGGACGGGCCCGAAAGGCAGCGGCGGCACCGUGUCCGGUCCUCGAGCGUAUGGGGCUUUGUCACCCGCUCUGUAGGCCCGGCCGGCGCUUGCCGAUCAACCAAAACUUUUUUCCAGGUUGACCUCGGAUCAGGUAGGGAUACCCGCUGAACUUAAGCAUAUCAAUAAGCGGAGA
rnacentral:misc_RNA from 1 species